GACGAACGCUGGCGGCGUGCUUAACACAUGCAAGUCGAACGGAAAGGCCCAGCUUGCUGGGUGCUCGAGUGGCGAACGGGUGAGUAACACGUGGGUGAUCUGCCCCUAACUUCGGGAUAAGCUUGGGAAACUGGGUCUAAUACCGGAUAGGACAAUCGUUUAGUGUCGGUUGUGGAAAGUUUUUUCGGUUAGGGAUGAGCCCGCGGCCUAUCAGCUUGUUGGUGGGGUAAUGGCCUACCAAGGCGUCGACGGGUAGCCGGCCUGAGAGGGUGGACGGCCACAUUGGGACUGAGAUACGGCCCAGACUCCUACGGGAGGCAGCAGUGGGGAAUAUUGCACAAUGGGCGCAAGCCUGAUGCAGCGACGCCGCGUGGGGGAUGACGGCCUUCGGGUUGUAAACCUCUUUCGACAGGGACGAAGCCUUGGUGACGGUACCUGUAUAAGAAGCACCGGCUAACUACGUG
rnacentral:rRNA from 1 species